rnacentral:rRNA from 1 species
UGGGAGUACACUAGUAAUAGGUGNCUAAUACCGCAUAAGCGCACAGCUUCGCAUGAAGCAGUGUGGAAAACAAAAAGCUAAAGCUUUUGGUGGUAUACGAUGGAUCCGCGUCUGAUUAGCUGGUUGGCGGGGUAAGCCCACCAAGGCGACGAUCAGUAGCCGGCCUGAGAGGGUGAACGGCCACAUUGGGACUGAGACACGGCCCAAACUCCUACGGAAGGCAGCAG